UUGUAUCUUUUGCGUGGGAGCUAACUGACUAAGUAACUAAGAAAAAUGUUCCGACCGAAAGGGAAGUGCAGGACAAAAUGUCCCCGGCUCGUAUCUGGGCCGAGCUUUUCUGUUGGCGACUUUCAGGUCUGCACUGUUUGUUCGCUGUUGUGCUUCUUUCUUUAUCAGGACUCGGGAGAACACGCAUCUGUGUGGCUCAAAGGUAUCACCCCCCCCCCCCCCCCCACACAAGCUCCAUCUCCACCGGCCUUAGCUCAUUCAGUAACCAAGAACUCAGCAACUCCCUCUGCUGGCCUGGGUCAAAGGUUCACCCGUCGGCUUUUGGGCGAUUCUGUGAACGAGGAAAAUGUGAGGCGUUUCUUUGCCGGGAGAAGGCAAAACUUGGAAGAAGGCAAAGUCGAAGCAAAUCCAGACAUUCCCGCUAACCUUCUGGCGCAUAUUCUGAACCUGUUUGGAGCGCCGGCGAGGAAACAUCAGCACAGACGGACGGGAGGGAGGAGGUGAGAGAAGCUGACGGCGGGGGGGAUGACGAGCCCGCCUGCGAGUCACAACAGAGGCCCCCCCCGUGUGCGGCGGCAGUGGGGGCGCCCCCAGCUCCGUUUGGCCCACGCGUCGCGUUUC